GGAGAUGUAGCUCAGCAGUAGAGUGCUUGCCUAGUAUGCAUGAGGCCCCGGGUUUGACACCCUGCACCA
rfam:Heterocephalus glaber contig47734, whole genome shotgun sequence.